rnacentral:rRNA from 1 species
GAUGAACGCUGGCGGCGUGCCUAAUACAUGCAAGUCGAGCGAACAGACGAGGAGCUUGCUCCUCUGACGUUAGCGGCGGACGGGUGAGUAACACGUGGAUAACCUACCUAUAAGACUGGGAUAACUUCGGGAAACCGGAGCUAAUACCGGAUAAUAUAUUGAACCGCAUGGUUCAAUAGUGAAAGACGGUUUUGCUGUCACUUAUAGAUGGAUCCGCGCCGCAUUAGCUAGUUGGUAAGGUAACGGCUUACCAAGGCAACGAUGCGUAGCCGACCUGAGAGGGUGAUCGGCCACACUGGAACUGAGACACGGGCCAGACUCCUACGGGAGGCAGCAGUAGGGAAUCUUCCGCAAUGGGCGAAAGCCUGACGGAGCAACGCCGCGUGAGUGAUGAAGGUCUUCGGAUCGUAAAACUCUGUUAUUAGGGAAGAACAAAUGUGUAAGUAACUAUGCACGUCUUGACGGUACCUAAUCAGAAAGCCACGGCUAACUACGUGC